rnacentral:misc_RNA from 1 species
UUUCCGUAGGUGAACCUGCGGAAGGAUCAUUAAAGAAUGUUCCGUUUUUCGACAGGUGUUCUAUUCCCAAACCGUGUCUACCUACCUUUGUUGCUUUGGCGGGCCGCCUUCGGGCGUUGGCGUCGGCUAAUUGUGCCCGUCAGAGGACCCAAACUCGUUUCGUUUAGCGAUGUCUGAGUACUAUAAAAUAGUUAAAACUUUCAACAACGGAUCUCUUGGUUCUG